GGUCCCGUCGUCUAAUGGUUAGGACGUUGCUCUUUCACAGCAAAAACGAGGGUUCAAAUCCCUUCGGGACUA
rnacentral:tRNA from 1 species